rnacentral:lncRNA from 1 species
AAGAAUUGUACCAGUAAAGCAAAUUGAAAACAUUUGCUUCUCAUUCUUCUUAUCAACAGGAUUUCUGCCUAGUCCCUCAAGCAGACAAUCUCCAGUGCAAUACCAUCUGAUGCUGUCAUUAAAUCCUCAGCGUCAGGUUUCUGUAGCAACAGAACAGCCUUCCCUGCUCCACUGACUGCUUCUGAAAUCGGAACAAAAACAGUUAAUCUUGUGCUCUUCUUCUAUGCUUUUUGACAGGCUGAGUUCUUCGUAUCUGGAAGGAAGUGGUCCCUGAAUCCAGUCAUCUCAGUGAACUUCUGGCUUCCCUCAAAUUGUGUGCUUCAGUCUUUAGAAAGUACUGUCAUCACCCUGGAGGCCUGUAACUUCUCUUUCGGCAUUGCAAGCACCCAGCUACCUACUGUGCCUGCCUUACCAAUCAGUCCUGAAUUUUCUCCUCUGAACAUGAAAACUUUCCUUCAUCCUUCUAUCACCUCCUUCUGUCAUCUACGAUAAGAUAAGCUGAAUUCACAGGAGUCCACUUUUCAACUCUACUCCAGAAAACUGCAAUACUACUGAAUAAAAAAAUAACUUAAGUUUCCCUGUUCA